ACCCCCGGGCCGUUACCGCCUCACGGCUCCGCGAAAACGUCGGCAGCGGGCCGGGGUGCCGCUGCCGGAUAUGCCGGGUGCGUUGCCCGCUCGAAGCAGAAAGCAGCGACGCGGGAACUGGCGCGCGCUUGGUUUCCUCUCUCCCGUUGCAAAAUGCAGGGAAAUUGUGCUUUCGUGUUUAGCGGCCGUGAAGAUUGUUUUGAGUGACAUUACUGGAAGUUACCCAUAGCCCUGCUUUAAUUUGUGUUAACAGCAAGCCUGCUCUGCAGUCCGUGUUCCCUUUAACUCCUGCAGUGCCUCCACACUGUUUGCAUGACAGGGAGAGCAGCAGCCAAGCAGCGUGAGGUGAGGACAUGGGUUGAGUUCUCAUUUGUGGAAGACCACAGUGACCAUUUUGAGGAAGGCAGUGCCAAGCUGGUGGAGAUAGACUCAUGUAUCCUGCAGCUCAAUUCCACUGUCACUGAUGGCAUUCAGAUAUUGCCUGGGUUAGAGGUGCAGGGCUGCAAUUUAAUAAAGGACAUGAUAGCAGGAUUUCCCUCUGCAGCGUUUUCAAGCUCACCAUCUAUCUGGAUUUCAAAAAGCAUUUUUGUAACCUCAGUCUUUGCAUUUCAGCAUAGAGGUUUGAAAAAUAGAUUGUUAACUCUACCAAUCCCCAUAUGAAGUGACAUCAUUUGAC